CGUCAUUUUUUUUCUUGAACAUUAAUACGUAAAUCUUAAAUACAGAUUAAAAACUAGAGUAGGAAUAUUCUGGCAAGAUUUACAAAACAAAUUACAAUUCCAUAAAAGUCUUAUUGCCAAAUAACUAUUAUACAGGCAUCACAGUUAAAUCAAUUGAGCUCAAAUUGUACGUAGGUUAGCGCAAUGUUCCAGCAAUGGAAGAACUCAAGUAGGAAGUGCCCCCAGGGCACAUCUCCAAGUGGUGAAAGGGGAGGGUGGAGAAAUCCAGCUUUGCUUGAGGCUGUUGCGUCAAGGGUUCGAAUCCUGAAAUAUGGAUUUGGCUCUUGGAUAAGUGCAAGUGUACAAGCAGCCUUCCACCCUGUACCGUUGGAGGCAUAACCUGCGAUUUACCUCCCUCACGAUGCUCCAGGGCAAGGGUGGUGAGAGACCUUUAAGGUUAAACCCAAGAACUCAAGUAGGAAGUUAUCACUACGUGAUAAUUGUAGCCAAGAGUUGUUAGUCUCUUAGAGUAGUUCACUGACGAAGAUAGCUCUAUGGUUGAAUCCAUUCCAAAAUUAUACAUUUAUUGUAGGCAAAAUCUCCUUUCUUUUUUUUCCUUUUUUUUUU
rnacentral:lncRNA from 1 species